AGUGAACGCUGGCGGUAGGCCUAACACAUGCAAGUCGAACGGCAGCACAGUAAGAGCUUGCUCUUACGGGUGGCGAGUGGCGGACGGGUGAGGAAUACAUCGGAAUCUACUUUUUCGUGGGGGAUAACGUAGUGAAACUUACGCUAAUACCGCAUACGACCUACGGGUGAAAGCAGGGGAUCUUCGGACCUUGCGUGAUUGAAUGAGCCGAUGUCGGAUUAGCUAGUUGGCGGGGUAAAGGCCCACCAAGGCGACGAUCCGUAGCUGGUCUGAGAGGAUGAUCAGCCACACUGGAACUGAGACACGGUCCAGACUCCUACGGGAGGCAGCAGUGGGGAAUAUUGGACAAUGGGCGCAAGCCUGAUCCAGCCAUACCGCGUGGGUGAAGAAGGCCUUCGGGUUGUAAAGCCCUUUUGUUGGGAAAGAAAAGCAGCAGGUUAAUACCCCGCUGUUCUGACGGUACCCAAAGAAUAAGCACCGGCUAACUUCGUG
rnacentral:rRNA from 1 species